UGUCACUUGGGACUGGACACUUCAGAAAGAUAAGAAAGCAGCUGUUGUUUUGGUGGACAACUCCCUGUCACUGCAGGAUGUAUAUAGCUGCUGCAGCAGAAGCGCCUACAGAUGUACCAGGUUUCUAGUGUCCAUUGCAAGCUGAAAGAGCCCACCAUGAAUAUUUUCCAUUCCAGAAGUGAAAUAUAUGCCAACUUGAACAAGUCUCCAAGGAAUAUAAAUUGAGUUUGGUAUAUUAUUUCCAUUUGUUCAAUUAUUGAAAAAAGAAAAUC